ACUCACUCAACCUGGGUGUGAUGUGUGCACUCGUUGCUCGGCCCAUCACAACCUCCUUGAGUGAGCGA
rnacentral:pre_miRNA from 1 species